UGGAUUGUUCUAAGAUGUGAUUUCAU
rnacentral:piRNA from 1 species